rnacentral:lncRNA from 1 species
GAUAAGGUGUUUCACUCAAUCACUCAAGUGUUUCAAGAAGUCACUCUUUUCCUCUACUAUCUACAUGUCACAUAGAACAAAGUUUGCCCUUCAUUUGCCACAAUCAAACAUCAUCACAUACACAUGUCAUCACAAGGACUUUUUCAAGGCUUAUAAUGUGGUUGGGCUAACAAGGAAAAUUGGUUUUUCUAGAUCACAAAAUCAUUGAGUUAAGAGAGUCAUUCAAAUAAUUAUAGUUCAAGCAUAACUCUCCUUUUAUCACUCUCACUCAUUCCUAACUUUCCCUUUUCUUCCCAUUGAGCUUUUCUUUUUCAUUCUUUUAUUUUUCUAUCUUUUUCAUGUUUUUUCUCAUGCAUUUUCAUUCAACACAUUAGUUCAAUGUCUAACUUUUCUUUUUCAACUUCCCAACAACC